CUUAAGUGGCUCCAAAUAAAUUGCCUUUCUGGCCAUCUGCUCCCCAUCGAAAUGCAACUGUGAAUGUGGAUAUUUGGGAUGGAAUAUUGGGGGUCUUCGAUUCAGGUGUGGAAGAAUGGAGUGUGCCUGAUCAUCUAUGGUUUAAGAUGUGGAAUUAAAAGGCAGAUGGAAUUCGACAAGAGGACACCGCCACAGCAUGGCUCAAUGAGCGGUGCCCAGGUCUGCGCCUGGGAUCUGAACCUGCAAACCCUGUGCCACCAAAGAAGAGCAGGUCACCACCACAGCAUGGCUGAUGAGCAGUGUGGGUACAAACCCGAUAUCUGAACCUGAGAACCUGGGCUGCUGAAGUUGAGUACAGCAAAGUCAACCACUACUCCCAAGGGUCGGCCCUAAAAGCUAUAUAUUUUAAAUAGCAUAUGACAACUCUGGAAAUUAUAAUGCUCCCC
rnacentral:lncRNA from 1 species